rnacentral:rRNA from 1 species
AGUGAACGCUGGCGGUAGGCCUAACACAUGCAAGUCGAACGGCAGCACAGUAAGAGCUUGCUCUUACGGGUGGCGAGUGGCGGACGGGUGAGGAAUACAUCGGAAUCUACUUUUUCGUGGGGGAUAACGUAGGGAAACUUACGCUAAUACCGCAUACGACCUACGGGUGAAAGCAGGGGAUCUUCUGACCUUGCGCGAUUGAAUGAGCCGAUGUCGGAUUAGCUAGUUGGCGGGGUAAAGGCCCACCAAGGCGACGAUCCGUAGCUGGUCUGAGAGGAUGAUCAGCCACACUGGAACUGAGACACGGUCCAGACUCCUACGGGAGGCAGCAGUGGGGAAUAUUGGACAAUGGGGGCAAGCCUGAUCCAGCCAUACCGCGUGGGUGAAGAAGGCCUUCGGGUUGUAAAGCCCUUUUGUUGGGAAAGAAAAGCAGCAGGUUAAUACCCCGCUGUUCUGACGGUACCCAAAGAAUAAGCACCGGCUAACUUCGUG